AUACUUACCUGGCAGGGGAGAUACCAUGAUCAAGAAGGUGGUUCACCCAGGGCGAGGCUCAGCCAUUGCACUCUAGGUUGUGCUGACCCCUGCGAAUUCCCCAAAUGUGGGAAUCUUGACUGCAUAAUUUCUGGUAGUGGGGGACUGCGUUCGCGCUCUCUCUUC
ensembl:snRNA U1 U1 spliceosomal RNA